GACGAACGCUGGCGGUGUGCCUAACACAUGCAAGUCGAACGGUAAGGCCCUUUCGGGGGUACACGAGUGGCGAACGGGUGAGUAACACGUGAGUAACCUGCCCUCAUCUCUGGGAUAACAGUCGGAAACGGUUGCUAAUACUGGAUAUGAGCUUGCAAGGCAUCUUGUGGGUUGGAAAGAUUUUUUUGGUUGGGGAUGGACUCGCGGCCUAUCAGCUUGUUGGUGAGGUAGUGGCUCACCAAGGCUUCGACGGGUAGCCGGCCUGAGAGGGCGACCGGCCACAUUGGGACUGAGAUACGGCCCAAACUCCUACGGGAGGCAGCAGUGGGGAAUAUUGCACAAUGGACGGAAGUCUGAUGCAGCAACGCCGCGUGCGGGAUGACGGCCUUCGGGUUGUAAACCGCUUUCAAUUGUGACGAAGCUUUUUGUGACGGUAGCAGUAGAAGAAGCACCGGCUAACUACG
rnacentral:rRNA from 1 species